GGAUGUAGCUCAGUGGUAGAGUGUAUGCUUAAUUAUGCAAAGCCCUGGGUUCAAUCCACAGCACCA
rnacentral:tRNA from 1 species